UCCGAUAUGGUGUAGUGGCUAACAUCGCUCGCUCUCAUGAAGAUCCGAGCAGCCCUGGGUUCGAUUCCCAGUAUCGGAG